rnacentral:rRNA from 1 species
CCCUUAGAUGUUCUGGGCUACACGCGCGCUACACUGACACUAUCAACGAGUGCUCCUGGUUUGAAAGGAUCGGGUAAUCUUUUGAAAUGGUGUCGUGAUGGGGAUAGAUCAUUGCAAUUAUUGAUCUUGAACGAGGAAUUCCUAGUAAAUGUGAGUCAUCAGCUCACGUUGAUUACGUCCCUGCCCUUUGUACACACCGCCCGUCGCUCCUACCGAUUGAGUGAACCGAUGAGUAGUCCGGAUUGCGAUCGACCUCGGUUAAUCGCGAGAAGUUCCGCAAAUCACUUCACUUAGAGGAAGGAGAAGUCGUAACA